UGCAAUGACCCUUUUAGACCAAAAAUUCGUUAUAGGCGAAGUAAAUUCACUCUCAUGUGACCGGUGCAGUGGAAGCCCGCAGUCAGCUGCUUUGUGCAGUGCAUUGUGGGAGUGACACGCACCAAAAUAUAGUCUCCUGUGUGGAUCUCUGCCAUCCCCAUCAUGAUAGUGCCCUGUGGUUGUGUGUGCUGUCUGCUGUUGGUGAGUACCAAAACUGUCUUG